rnacentral:rRNA from 1 species
UGCUUAACACAUGCAAGUCGAACGGAAAGGCCCUGCUUGCAGGUACUCGAGUGGCGAACGGGUGAGUAACACGUGGGUGAUCUGCCCUGCACUUCGGGAUAAGCUUGGGAAACUGGGUCUAAUACCGGAUAGGAACCAUCUUUAGUGUGGUGGUUGGAAAGUUUUUUCGGUGUAGGAUGAGCUCGCGGCCUAUCAGCUUGUUGGUGGGGUAAUGGCCUACCAAGGCGGCGACGGGUAGCCGGCCUGAGAGGGUGUACGGCCACAUUGGGACUGAGACACGGCCCAGACUCCUACGGGAGGCAGCAGUGGGGAAUAUUGCACAAUGGGCGCAAGCCUGAUGCAGCGACGCCGCGUGGGGGAUGAAGGCCUUCGGGUUGUAAACUCCUUUCGCUAGGGACGAAGCUUUUUGUGACGGUACCUAGAUAAGAAGCACCGGCUAACUACGUGCCAGCAGCCGCGGUAAUACGUAGGGUGCGAGCGUUGUCCGGACAUUACUGGGCGUAAAGGGCUCGUAGGUGGUUUGUCGCGUCGUCUGUGAAAUUCUGGGGCUUAACUCCGGGCGUGCAGGCGAUACGGGCAUAACUUGAGUGCUGUAGGGGUAACUGGAAUUCCUGGUGUAGCGGUGAAAUGCGCAGAUAUCAGGAGGAACACCGAUGGCGAAGGCAGGUUACUGGGCAGUUACUGACGCUGAGGAGCGAAAGCAUGGGUAGCGAACAGGAUUA